rnacentral:rRNA from 1 species
GACGAACGCUGGCGGCGUGCCUAAUACAUGCAAGUAGAACGCUGAAGGAGGAGCUUGCUUCUCUGGAUGAGUUGCGAACGGGUGAGUAACGCGUAGGUAACCUGCCUGGUAGCGGGGGAUAACUAUUGGAAACGAUAGCUAAUACCGCAUAAGAGUAGAUGUUGCAUGACAUUUGCUUAAAAGGUGCAAUUGCAUCACUACCAGAUGGACCUGCGUUGUAUUAGCUAGUUGGUGAGGUAACGGCUCACCAAGGCGACGAUACAUAGCCGACCUGAGAGGGUGAUCGGCCACACUGGGACUGAGACACGGCCCAGACUCCUACGGGAGGCAGCAGUAGGGAAUCUUCGGCAAUGGACGGAAGUCUGACCGAGCAACGCCGCGUGAGUGAAGAAGGUUGUCGGAUCGUAAAGCUCUGUUGUAAGAGAAGAACGAGUGUGAGAGUGGAAAGUUCACACUGUGACGGUAUCUUACCAGAAAGGGACGGCUAACUACGUG